CAUGUAAAAUUACUUUAUUGAGAAUUUCGUGUCCACUUAAACCAGCCCAUGGUUCUUCGCCAAAUGUGUACAUUUCCCACAACGUAAUCCCAAACAUCCAGACAUCUGUCAAAUUCAAAUGAUAAAAAACGGAUUCAGGAGCACACCAGGGAAACGGCACUCGCCUUUGUUCAGUCAUGACGUAACUAUUAUAAAAUAGAAUAAUAUUAAUAAAAUAAUUUGAAUAAAUUCCAGUUAAUCAAAUCUGCUGACCAAUCCGAACCAGGAGGUAAAGGACGAAGAAGACCAAAGUCUCCAAUUUUGGCCUAAUAUGAAAUUAAAAAAAAAAAUAAAGAGAGACAGACAUUGAUUGCUUUCAAUAGUUGUACCUGGGUUUUAGAGGUAAGGAAAAUAUUACGACAGGCUAAAUCUCGAUGAAGCAGCCUACGAGAUUCAAGGAAAGCCAUUCCGGAAGCAAUCUUAAUACGUAGUUUAGAAAAUUAAAUAUAAUUAAAUCAAGGGUUAUUAAGUUUCACUGUUUUACCUCAGAUGCAAAUUGCCAAAGAGAGCAAAUAGAUGUAUGAGAGCACUCUUUGUGUAGAUAGUCCAGUAAACUGCCUAAUGGGGCAAGCUCUGUAACCAUCAUCAAGGGGUGUGAUAAUACAACCCCAUGUAACCUAAGGAUACCAGUCAUUUGAAUGCAAUCACAGAAUGUACGCAGAAAAGAGUUUAUACCGUAUGAGGCAUGGGUGCUGCAAGGAAUGCAUGGCUUCUACUUCUCUUACAAAAUCAUCAUAAACAGCUUGAUGCUGAACUAAGUCUUCUUUAAGUACUUUAACUGCAAUGAAUUAUAAUAGUAAAGUAUUUAAGUUAAAAUAUUUAUUUACUUUAACUGCAAUUUACCUGCAACAGGUAUUGUCACACCAUCAGAUCGAUUCCAUUCUCCUUUGUGCACAAUCCCAAAUGAUCCAUCACCAAGUUGUGUCCCAAUUUUCAGUUCCUAAAUAGUAAUACAAAUAUAAUGUACUGUCAAUCGGAAUAACAAUAAGGAAAAUAUCACUUACACUUUCUUUUAUCAAACAUGUUAGGCUACUAGAAUUUUGUUGUUGCUGAGUUCCUGUUAAUUUUUCUAAAUUCUUUGCAUCUUUGUUAGCACUUUGGUUUAUAAAGGUUUGUAUUAGUUUUUUCUUCAGUGUGCCUUUUCGUUUUUUUACUGUAUCCAGAAGCCUGCGUGCAGCUGGCUUUCCCAUGCCAAUACUCAUGAGGUCAUCUGUUGUAA